GUGCAAUGAUAAAAUAAAAAUACAAGCUCUAAAAUAGAAAUACAAGAUCUUCAAAUCAUCCCAACUCAUCAAAUUAGCAGUUUGAAUGGUUAAGAAAUCAUCAUUUUACAACUUAAAACCACAAUUUUUCAAGAACGUUCUGCCCAAAUAAAGAAACCACAUCAUGUCUUAUGAAACCAUGGAAUCCUUGAUCCAAACAGGGUAUAACUUUCAGCGACAAACUAUUAGGCUGGUUUGAUUUGCAGUUAGAAAUUGUAUGGUGGGAGUCUGCAAGUCUGUCCAUAUUUCUUCAGUUUGUGAUUUCCAUUUGCAGAAACUGUAAGUACUAUAGAAGUUUGAAACAAUAACAAAGGGGUUCUUAGAUUAUGACAGGAACUCUUCUGCGAUGAUAAAUUUUCGAUAAUCCUUGAAAUUCGUCAAAAAGCAUAGCAGAUGAGUGCCUAGUCAAAUGGGUUACUUUGCAACAGCUGACAUAUUUGACCACAAAUACCCCGCAGAAAAAGCUUCAGCUGCUCCCUUCUGUCCCUGAUGGUGGCGACUGAGUAAAGUUGCCAACAGAGAACGCACAUAUAGGCUGAGGAAAAGCCAGGAGACAAGGGAUGCUGUGCCCAUAACAAAUUACAUUGCUUGGACACUGCAUUGGCAGGCUUGUAAACACCAGUUGCCCAAAUGCAGGUGCAAAAGGUAUACACAAUGUGUGUGACUGAGGGGUAAUAACAUGCACGGAUGAAAUACUCAGUCCUGCCACUGCAUUUGUCAGCUGGAAAGAGGGUGCUACGAAUUGAGGUUGUAGGAGUACUUGGAUAUUUGGUACAUUCAGGGAAGAUAAUGUGCUGGUAGGACAUGAUGUUGUGUGUACAAAUCGCGUGGUGUGAUUCUGGGACGAUAAUGAGCCAGACGGUAAUGAGCAGAACAAAGAAGAAGAUGCUGGUAAUGGACGAGAGUGAAAUGUAGAUGUUGCUCCAAAGCUUGUAGGGUUGCAGGUAGAAACACCAAAUGUAAACCCACAGGCAGAUUGAUCAUUUCCAUAGCGGUCUGCAAGUCAAAGCAUUUAUUUAAGAAAGCAAUCAUUAUAAUACAGCUUGUAAAACCCUUACAAUCCAAGAAUGUAUUCAUAUAUCAUGAAGUAUUGAGAAACAAAUUUUGCCAAUUGCAAUUGAAAAAUACUACGAAGAUCGAAGCCUUAUCAGAGUGUUCCCUAGUUGACAGAAAGGCAGAGUCAACUAGUGAUGAAGCAUACCUUUAUGCGGAGUCAACUAGCUGUAAAGCAUACCUUUAUGCACCAAUUGGUAGUCCUCCCAUCUUAAUUCUUCUAAACUUUUGUCUUUGUAGACAGGCAUGGCUGUUAUAGACAUAAGCUUAUCACCAACAGGAUUGUCGGUAAACUCUUCUUCUGUUUCAGUGUAAGCUGCUAUUCUAGUUCCUCUAUGUUUUCCAGCAAAAAUUGAAGGUCCAAAACCAUUCUGUCCAAAUACUCCUGUCAUUGUCUGGGUCCCAAACGGGAACCUUUGCUUGUCAGAACCAUCUGGAGCAGGUCCAAAUAUGUUGGAGCUACCCAGUGUAGAAGCAGAUAGACUAGAACCCCCAAAACUUGUUGAAGUGGCAAUUGGAGUGGCAAAUGAAGAGCCAAAAGGAAGGGUAUUUGAAUUAGUAGAUCCAGAUGCAAUGGCAUUGAAGCCGCCAAAUGCUGCAGCACUUGAUGCACUGAAACCUGUAGCACUUGGACAACCCAAUGCUGGAGCCCCAAAAGCUGAUACUGAAGUAGCCAGAGAGAGGGCAGGAAUCGGGCUACAAGUAAACACUGGAGUGGUUGAGGCAGCAAAUGUUGGGGCGCUUGAUGCUCCAAAAGUAGACGUAGAAGUAGUUUGACAUAGGCCAGAAGUUGAGCUAAAAUUAAAUGCUGGAGUACUUGAUGAAACAAAAACAGGAACAUUUGAUGUGUUAAACCCUGGAGCACUUGAGGCACCAAAAGCAGAUGCAGAAGCAGAAUGACUGAAGGCAGGAAUUAAGCCAAAAGUGAGUGCUGGAGUGCUUGAUACACCAAAUCCUGGAGUAGUUGAGGCUCCAAGAGUAGACUGACAGAGGGCAAGAGUUGAGCUUAAAGUAAAUGCGGGAAUACUCGAUGAUCCAAUCGAUGGAGCACUUGAUGCACCAAACCCUGAAGCACGUGAUCCAUCAGAUCCUGGAAAAGUUGAGGCUCCAACGGUAGACUGACAGAGGGCGGUAUUUGAGCUUAAAGCGUAUACAGGAGUACUUGCUGAACCAAACAUUGGAGCACUUGAUGCACCAAACCGUGAAGUACUUGGUCCACCAAAUGCUGAAGAACUUGAGACCCCAAAAGCAGAUGCCGAAGUAGACUGAGAGAGAGCAGGAGUUGAGCUAAAAGUAAAUG
rnacentral:misc_RNA from 1 species